UCUAAUGUGGCAGAUUAGUGCAAUAGAUUUAAGCUCUAUAAAUAAAGGUUUAACCUUUUAUUAGAA
rnacentral:tRNA from 1 species